ensembl:misc_RNA
UGAUGGUGGUUAUUUUGGGGACGGAUGCCCGUGUUGUGGUUUCCUGGUCCAGCGGCGUCGUCGGUGACUCAAUCUCCUGCCCCCGGGGA